UUCAGAAGCUUCUGGUCCAGCACCUA
rnacentral:piRNA from 1 species